UUUAGAUUGCACUGCCCAAAUUUUAUGUCAGUCAGAUUAAUUCUGUAAGAGGAGUUUGUUAAGGAGUUUACAGAUGAUACAUCUACCAGAUCUCUCUGAUCAAGGAACCGGGGGUUUCCGCACGUCCUAAGAGAUGGCUCCCCCACCCAGAGUCUCGACUCCACCGGUUCCCGCACACCUUCUCGCCAGCAGACACCGGUCUGCUCUUCACUCAAGCAUCCAUUGGCGCGGAUCCGACUCCUCCCCUGCAUCCCUCACCUAGUGAUGUGCAGAUCAAUCCUAAAGUAUCGAUAUUUCUGAUACCAACGUUUCCUGCUCUAGGAUCUAUACUCUUAUAAAAGGAUCAAUAUCUAAACUCAGUCAUUUGGAGUGAGUGUGUGUUUUAAGUAUCUUACCAGGAUGGUCUAAUUAUAGGCUACUCGGUUGAUAGGAACUACUUUUCCAAGUCAUGCUUGCACUACAACUCUGUGACGGAGCUUCUUUGAAGU